rnacentral:rRNA from 1 species
AUUGAACGCUGGCGGCAGGCCUAACACCUGCAAGUCGAACGAGUGGCGGACGGGUGAGUAAUGUCUGGGAAACUGCCUGAUGGAGGGGGAUAACUACUGGAAACGGUAGAUAAUACCGCAUACCAUCGGAUGUGCCCAGAUGGGAUUAGCUAGUAGGUGGGGUAAAGGCUCACCUGGGCGCCGAUCCCUAGCUGGUCUGAGAGGAUGACCAGCCACACUGGAACUGAGACACGGUCCAGACUCCUACGGGAGGCAGCAGUGGGGAAGAGUGCACAAUGGGCGCAAGCCUGAUGCAGCCAUGCCGCGUGGAUGAAGAAGGCCUUCGGGUUGUAAAGUACUUUCAGCGGGGAGGCGUUACCCGCAGAAGAAGCACCGGCUAACUCCGUGCCAGCAGCCGCGGUAAUUG